rnacentral:lncRNA from 1 species
CCCCAUCCAAUCCCACUUCUUGGCCUCUAACUCCUCCAUAUAUAAACUAAGCUCUUCUCCGUUCAAAUUAGAUACACGUUUCAGAAGUUACUUCUUCCUAGCCACCAACUCUUCCAUAACAGCCUCUGCAUUCUUAGAUUCUUCUCAUCCAAAGCAGCCAUCAACGCCUCCUUAUGCCUAAACUUCUUCAAGUAGAGAUGGUCUUUAAGCGGAGGCCAUAGAAUGAACCAUAGGCGAGAGGUCAGAAACUCGACUGUAGUCAGUAGCCUGUAGUAACCGGAGAUGGUCUCAAAGGCGACUCCCGGAGGCUACAUUGAAGAACGUUUACCUUGAUUAUUGUUGCUAGAGAGUUGAACUUUGUUGAACAUUUUUUCAAACACCUUGUGUGCUCAUCAAAACUUGGAAAUUUCUUUGACAGAUUGUAUCCUUCUGAAUCACCAGUUGAAUGCCACAUUCGAUCAUCUCAAAUCUCCUUUUAGUGUGAUCUUUGGCUUGGACAUUCUCGCUAGCAGCUGUUGUGGGAGCAAUGGUAGAAUUUUACAAGGCAACAGUUGCCUCCUUUACCCAUUUGGUUGUAGGAGGUAGAUAUUGUUGGGAUGCCUGUCAAGGGCUUGUUGAUUCAGGUUAUCGAGUCUGUCGUAGCUUCGACGGCUCUCGCCAGAGGUCCUAGGAUAUCAACGAUGGGAUGAAUUCUGAUGUUUUGCUGUAGUUGCAUAAAAUUGGAGCCCAAUUCUUUGCAAUGGAAAAAAUCCGAUUGUUUGUGCGCCAGGGUGCCACCAUUGGAGCUGCAAUUGAAUUCCUUUCAAUUGGGUGAACUUUUUGCGAGGUGGGUUCAAUUUGGACAAGACUUUUUAAAGUGAGUAGAUUUUGUGGACUUUACAAACUUUUAAGUGAUUUCUAUAAAUUUGAUAAUAAUUAGUAAAAGUUUUUCAUGAGUUCCUAUAGACUUUUAC